UCAUGAAACAACAGAAGUAGUUAGCUCGCUAGUCAGCGGGAGCUAGCAUAGAGGAAAAAAUAGCUAACGCCAGGACCACAGUAAACAAAGCUCUACUUCAACCCUCUGUGGUAUAAACAUCCAACACAACAAAUGAAUAGAAAAUAAUGACACACCUGGAAAAUAUAUAAACAGCACACAGAGGUCUGAGGCUCCUUCCCAACUCCUACAAAAAGCAACAAUGCUAAAUAACAGCGACGUUAACUAUUAGCUGUUAACCCUCUAUUGCAUAGUGUUGCCUCAGGGUAACAAACCCCUGUCGCCUCAUUUUCUCAGGCCUACAACAUCAUACACCAAUAAAAAAUGCUCAUUUUGAUCAGGAGGAAGUUUGAAAAGCCAACAGAAUGCUUGUAUUUGAUCACAUGACUUGUAAAAUACCCUUUUCAAUCUAUCUUCCUCACCUGCACUCACAUGCGGCAGGCAUGUUUUUUUCAGCUCCACAAACCUUUGAAAAAGUGACAUUUUCCUUAGGAUUUCCAUGAAAUAAAAAAUAUUUUCACAAUUUUGGAUGGAGAUGCUGAAGAAAGAGAUGGAGAGCUGAAAAAGGACGAAGAGGAACAGGCAUACAUAAACUGAAUGGGAAUGAAUGGAUAGAAAUAAUACUCCUUUGUCGCGCAUUGUUACUUCUAGGUAACAAACCCAACUAAGAUUGUAACUAGUUGUGAAUGUAAUACUUUUUCAGCACAAUUUUUUUUUCAAAUUAAGUUGAUGUUGAAGAUCUUUCAUAAAAUGUAUUUUGUUAUGGAAUAAAGAGAUAUAUUUCAAGUA